GCCUAAACCCGAUUGGCGGGGAAAGUUCCCGAUUUUUCAUCGGGACUUGUACCAAAAGCGGGGCUGCAG
rnacentral:ncRNA from 2 species